UCCGGUUUAUCACCGGCAGUCCCAACAGAGUCCUCAGCUCUACCUGUUAGCAACAGUUGGCAAGGGUUGCGCUCGUUGCGGGACUUAACCCAACAUCUCACGACACGAGCUGACGACAGCCAUGCAGCACCUGUGCACGUGCCCCGAAGGGGGCCCUAGGUUUCCCUAGGGUUUCACGUGCAUGUCAAGCCCAGGUAAGGUUCUUCGCGUUGCUUCGAAUUAAACCACAUGCUCCGCUGCUUGUGCGGGCCCCCGUCAAUUCUUUUGAGUUUUAGCCUUGCGGCCGUACUCCCCAGGCGGAACACUUAACGCGUUGGCUGGCACAGAGGGAUUCGACUCCCCCCACACCUAGUGUUCAUCGUUUACGGCUAGGACUAC
rnacentral:misc_RNA from 1 species